GAUGAACGCUGGCGGCGUGCCUAAUACAUGCAAGUCGAGCGAACAGACGAGGAGCUUGCUCCUCUGACGUUAGCGGCGGACGGGUGAGUAACACGUGGAUAACCUACCUAUAAGACUGGUAUAACUUCGGGAAACCGGAGCUAAUACCGGAUAAUAUAUUGAACCGCAUGGUUCAAUAGUGAAAGACGGUUUUGCUGUCACUUAUAGAUGGAUCCGCGCCGCAUUAGCUAGUUGGUAAGGUAACGGCUUACCAAGGCAACGAUGCGUAGCCGACCUGAGAGGGUGAUCGGCCACACUGGAACUGAGACACGGUCCAGACUCCUACGGGAGGCAGCAGUAGGGAAUCUUCCGCAAUGGGCGAAAGCCUGACGGAGCAACGCCGCGUGAGUGAUGAAGGUCUUCGGAUCGUAAAACUCUGUUAUUAGGGAAGAACAAAUGUGUAAGUAACUAUGCACGUCUUGACGGUACCGAAUCAGAAAGCCACGGCUAACUACGUG
rnacentral:rRNA from 1 species